UCCGACGUAGUCUAGCUGGUUAGGAUACUUGGCUCUCACCCGAGAGACCCGGGUUCGAGUGCCGUGACGGAG
rnacentral:tRNA from 1 species